rnacentral:rRNA from 1 species
CCUACGGGUGGCAGCAGUGGGGAAUAUUGCGCAAUGGGCGAAAGCCUGACGCAGCGACGCCGCGUGAGGGAUGAAGGUCUUCGGAUCGUAAACCUCUGUCAGCAGGGAAGAACGGUCACUGUGCUAAUCAGCAGUGAAUUGACGGUACCUGCAAAGGAAGCACCGGCUAACUCCGUGCCAGCAGCCGCAGUAAUACGGAGGGUGCGAGCGUUAAUCGGAAUUACUGGGCGUAAAGCGCCCGUAGGCGGGAUGUCAAGGCGAGGGGGAAAGCCUCGGGUUCAACGUGGGAACUGCCUUUGAAACUGGCAAACUGGAGUGUGGAAGAGGAUAGUGGAAUUCCAGGUGUAGGAGUGAAAUCCGUAGAUAUCUGGAGGAACAUCAGUGGCGAAGGCGACUAUCUGGCACAUAACUGACGCUGAGGAGCGAAAGCGUGGGUAGCAAACAGGAUUAGAUACCCUGGUAGUC